UUUUUUUUUUUUUUUUUUUUUUUUUUUUUUUUUUUUUUUUUUUUGCCACCAUCUUACUUUUGAAAGAGAAUGAUCUACAUGUUUGUAUGUGCAUUGAGGGCUGACAUAAAUGACUAUAUGCCUAUAUCUCAACAAGUGAUAUGACUAUGUUUGAGAGCACGCUUGAGGCUGCUAGAGUAAUUGAAAAGGAAAACAAGAGACAAUUAGAUUAGACGGGAGUAGUGAUCGCAAGAGAAAACGUUAAAGAAGAAUUGUCGGAAAAAGGCAUGAGGGUGAAUGUCGUUAUGGUUCAAAGGAAUGUUAUCGGGGUGGAGUGGAACACUAGGUCACUUGGCUCAAGAAUGUGGUUAUGUUAAAAGAAAAUAGUACAACUGAUGGGGGUGUGCAAUGUUGCAUUCCAAAGGCAAAGACUUUUGGACUUUUGUUUAUGAAGUAGCAUGUAAGAAAUCAUCUUGUGUUGACAAGGAUCUGUAUAUUGUGCUUGUGUUACACAUUGGUUUUAAGAUCAAAUUUGUGUGGGGGGUCGCGAGGGGCAGUGGCUCCAUCGUCUUUUCUAUCUGGCUAUGAUAAGCUCCAAGUAGCAGGCUCUAUGCAAUGGCGAACAAUGGUGAUUACCACAAUUGUUUCUAUUAUUGCUUCUCCAGUUUGUUCCAUUUUUUUUGUUACAUACCUUGCAGAAUCAAGAGCAAAAAUAGAGAAGGCGUGCGACAGGGGAGAUAUAGGAGCGGCUGGGGUAUUUCGUUUUUUUAUUUAUUUAUUUUUUUUAGUAAUUUAAAUAGGGCGAUUUCAUAUAUACCCCUACAAACUUGCAAAAUAUCAUAUAUACCCCUGCAAAAUUAUAGAUAUCACAUAUACCCUUACAAAGUAGUUGACAUAUCAUAUAUACCCAAUUGAUUAAAAACAAUUUAAUAAAAGACAUUUUUACCCUUAUUUUUCUAUAACUUUGAAAUCUUAUAUACGACCUUCAACUUCAAAUAUUAUACUUGCUCUUUUCUAGCUUAAUUUAUUUAGCUUAAAUAUUAUAUAUACAGAGAAUACUAUUGUUUAUGGAAAAAAUAUAAACAAAAAUGGGUAAAAAUAAAUUUAAGCUUAAAAUCUGCUAUAUAAAAAUAUGAAAUUAAAAGAUGAGCGUAUAUGAAAACUUAAGAGUUAAAAAAAUAAGUGUAAAAUGAUUAUUUAUUAGAUUGUUUUUAAUAAUUUGGGUAUAUUUGAUAUUUUAACUAUUUAUUAAGGGUAUAUAUAUGAUAUUUUUAGUUUUUUAGGUGAAUUAUAUAAAAAAAUCCCAUUCUAGUUAAAGAAACUUAAGAAACCUAUUUGUGUGGACACAAAAAUGCCACGUGUUACACUUUUUAACAAUCAAUUUUUUCUGAAUCUGUGUACAUUUUUUGUCAGAAGAAAGAGGAGAGAGAAUGUUUGAAUGUGUUAGAGCAUCCACAAUAGCUCAUUUAUAAGGGUUGUUUUUGCUCAUUUUUACAACUCACUCAUUCUUUCUUAUUGUGUGAAUCAUUUUUGUAAUUUGUUUUUAGCUUUCAUAUUUGUGGAAGAACGGGUAAUGUUGUCAGGUGGUGGGGGGUUGGGUAAUAAGUUAAAAAUAAUGGUAAAAGGUGAUGAUGAUGUGGCAAUGUUUUUUGGUUUUCUUAUUGGGUGGAUUUUUUGUGUUUUUGAGUAUUAGUGUUUUUUGUGAUGUGGAAGCUGACUAGACAUGUUUUUUUGGUAUUUUUGUAGUUCCUUAUUGUGGAUGGCCUUACAUUUUUUUUAGGAUUACAUUUUUUUGAACUUCAUAUGUUACACAUUUUAUGGGUUAAUAUAACAGUUUUUUUUUCAAAAUUUUUGAAUUUUAAGUGUUACAAUUUUCAGAACUUACAAAGGUUUUUAGUUAUGUAGUGCAUGUAACAAUAUGUUACAUUUUCUUAGUAAGUUUUUUUGUGUAACACUUACAGACAGAUACACUUUUGUGUCCGACUGUAACAAUUCUGAAAAACACUUUUUGCAGGCUUUACCUUUUUUUUUUUUCUGAAAAAGCAACAUUUUUGUACUUGAUUUAAUCUACACCAUAGAUUAAAUGGAUGAAUGACGGAGAUGAGGUUUCUUUUGUUUUCUUAACAAGGUUUUCAUUUUAUCCUUCUCCAGUUUUUGUAAGGGCAUAAUGAUAUUUUUUUGUUUUUGUUGGGUACAUAUGAAAUUUUUCAAGCUGAUAAGAGUAUAUAUGAAAUUAAUCCAUUUACAUAAGUAUUCAAUAUGGUUUGUAAAACGGUAAUAGCCAGUUUGCACAAAUUUAACGGAUCUUUUAUCGAAAGUCGGUGUUUGGACUCAACCAUGUUAUAAACUGAAAACCGUAUAUAUCAAACAUGUAUUUUUUUAAGAUUAGACUUGGCCUUAAAGGUGAUAGUUUUGUCAAACCAUAUAUAUCACUUCAUCCGAAUAAUAUUAAUACUAUACUAUAAUGUUGAUUGUGUUUUUUAGGUUUAAUCACAUUUAAACAUAUACUUGGUAUAAUUGCCAUCCAAAUAAUAAUACUAUAAUGAUGAUUUUGUUGUUUACGUUUAAUCACAUUUAAACAUAUACUUAGUAUAAUUGAGUCAGUAUUUCACGUAACCCUAUACGAUCAUGCGAUAUGUCACUAAUAAUGUUGCUUAUAAGUUGCAUAUUUAGCACGUAUAUCCAACACAAUGAUCAUGUAAAACGUUAGUUUAUAUUUUUUUUUUACACGAACACCUCUUUCUUUCGAUAAAACACGUCAAACUACCCUGUUGUGCAAUCGAUUGUUAAUUCGAUAAAACACCUCAAACUACCCCGUUGUGCAAUCGAUUGUUAAAACUAGUCAUCAUGUUAGUGGACGUGAAAUAUCGCUAAACCAUAAAUAAGCCCAUUGAGAAGGAAAAAGAGGAACGGUGUAUCAAAAGGGUGAGAAUGAGGUUUCUUAUUAUAUUUGUUAGGGACUUAAGGUAAUAAAUAAAUAAAAAUUAAUAAAUAUAAGAAGUUUAGAUAAAAUAAAUAAAUAUACGAACGAGACCUUCAUUCGUGUUCGUUAAAUGAACAUUCCACCGAAUAAUUCACGAAUGUUCACUAAACGUUCGAUUCGUUUACAGUCUAGAGUCACUUCAAUUAAAAUUUGGGCCUGAGCCUAAUGCACAUUGAGGCCUGUUUUAACGGAAUAAAUAAAUUGACGUUUCGUCCUCGUCAUUGUUGCCACUUGCCUGCUUCAGGCUAACACAGAAGCCGAGAGAGAAGAAACGGAGACUAAGCCAACAGAAUGAAAACAAGAAAUGAUGGACAUGUUUCAGAAGAAGCCGAUGAAUCUAGUGACGAUGAGGCAGCCUUUUCACAUGGUUUCGCUAAGUUUAGUGAAGUAGGGGACCCCAUAGCAGCGAUGAUGUGGAUUUCUCAGAUGGAGGACGUCUUUGAACUUAUGAAGUGUGCUGACGAGGACAAGGUAAAGUAUGGCGUCUCUGUGUUGAGAUCAGAAGCUCGUGUUUGGUGGGACAGGGUCAAGGAUACGAGUGGGGCCGCGACUCCAACAAUGACGUGGAGUCGAUUCAAGGAAGUGUUCAGAGAUGAGUUUUAUCCUCUACGCGUAGAGCUGGAAUUAGUGCAACAGUACACGACAGUCAAACAAGAAAGCAAUGAAAGUGUGCGAGAGUAUGCUAAUAAGUUUACGAAACUGUGGUGGUUCUUUUGGGACUAUCUUACUGCUGAAAAGAGAUUGAUAUACCUUUUUGUACGUGGAUUGACGGCUGAGAUAAAAGCUGUUAUCUCAGAAAAUGAUGUUACUACAUUGGAUAAAGCUGUGCAGGCUGCCAGAGAAAUAAACGACAGGCUAAUAGAAGAGAGGAAAGAACGCAAACGUAGAAAGUGUACCAAUUGUGGGAAAAAGCAUGGGGGAGUGUGUCGUUAUGGUUCGAAUGAAUGUUAUCGGUGUGGAAAACCAGGUCACUUGGCUCGAGAAUGUUCUGCUUAAAGGAAAUGGUACAAUUGGACUCGGUAAAGACUUUUGGGCUUGGGUUUAUGAAGUAUUAUGUAUGAAAUCAGGUUUAUAUCAUGUUUUUUUUUUUUUUUUUUGUGUGUGUUUGUUAAAAACUGAAAAUUUUACUCGAAAAAUGGUUUAUGUGA